UAGGGAAUCUUCCGCAAUGGACGAAAGUCUGACGGAGCAACGCCGCGUGAGUGAAGAAGGAUUUCGGUUCGUAAAACUCUGUUGUUAGGGAAGAAAAAAUGUAUAGUAACUAUAUACAAAAGAGACGGUACCUAACCAGAAAGCCACGGCUAACUACGUGCCAGCAGCCGCGGUAAUACGUAGGUGGCAAGCGUUGUCCGGAAUUAUUGGGCGUAAAGCGCGCGCAGGUGGUUUAGAAAGUCUGAUGUGAAAGCCCACGGCUCAACCGUGGAGGGUCAUUGGAAACUAAUAAACUUGAGUGCAGGAGAGAAAAGUGGAAUUCCUAGUGUAGCGGUGAAAUGCGUAGAGAUUAGGAGGAACACCGGUGGCGAAAGCGACUUUCUGGCCAUAUACUGACGCUGAGGUACGAAAGCGUGGGUAGCAAACAGG
rnacentral:rRNA from 1 species